rnacentral:rRNA from 1 species
UACGGAGGGAGCUAGCGUUGUUCGGAAUUACUGGGCGUAAAGCGCGCGUAGGCGGUCCAUCAAGUCAGAGGUGAAAGCCCGGAGCUCAACUCCGGAACUGCCUUUGAAACUGGCGGACUAGAAUCUUGGAGAGGCGAGUGGAAUUCCGAGUGUAGAGGUGAAAUUCGUAGAUAUUCGGAAGAACACCAGUGGCGAAGGCGACUCGCUGGACAAGUAUUGACGCUGAGGUGCGAAAGCGUGGGGAGCAAACAGG